rnacentral:rRNA from 1 species
GGAAUAUUGGACAAUGGGCGAAAGCCUGAUCCAGCAAUGCCGCGUGUGUGAAGAAGGCCUUCGGGUUGUAAAGCACUUUCAGUGGGGAAGAAAGACAGGGUGCUAAUACCACCCCGUGAUGCCGUUACCUACCGAAGAAGCACCGGCUAACUCCGUGCCAGCAGCCGCGGUAAUACGGAGGGUGCGAGCGUUAAUCGGAAUUACGGGGCGUAAAGGGCGCGUAGGCGGUUUGAUAAGUCGGGUGUGAAAGCCCCGGGCUUAACCCGGGAACUGCAUUCGAUACUGUCGGGCUAGAGUGUGGUAGAGGAAAGCGGAAUUCCCGGUGUAGCGGUGAAAUGCGUAGAUAUCGGGAGGAACAUCAGUGGCGAAGGCGGCUUUCUGGACCAACACUGACGCUGAGGCGCGAAAGCGUGGGGAGCAAAC